rfam:Cricetulus griseus cell line CHO-K1, whole genome shotgun sequence.
UGGGAAGUGAUGAAGCCUUUGACUGCUGACAAUACACUGAUCUCUGUCGUAUUCGUACUGGCUGAUCCCG